rnacentral:lncRNA from 1 species
CUUAUUUUGGACUCUGAAAUGUUGAUGAGAAAGUUUGUAUUGAUUUUAAAAUGGUUGGUAACAUGGACUGGUGUAUAUAAGACACAGGAUAGUGGGAGGAAGCAUCAGCCGUUUGACAAAGCCCUGUGGGUGGGGCGAAAUGCAUUACGGACCCGGAACCAGGAAGUGAUUUGGAGACAGUCGGCAACAGCAGCCAGAAGAUUUUUUUACAUUACAUGAGUAUAUGGAACUUUCUUUGCGGUUUCCUGAGGCUGGUGAGCGGACUAACUAACUCCACAACAAGUUUUGCUGUUUUUUAAUUGUUAUUAAUAAAGUAUACUUACCUGAGAUCCGGAUUGCACGCUUCCUUUCCACGGAUCCCACGCACUCUAGGGGCUGAUCCUCCCUGAGUGCUAUAGCAACGAGUGGUGCUUUUACCAAUCCAAUCUUAUGAGUGUAACACCUAAAGGGCACCUCUGUUUGCUUUAUUUUAUAUAUUUAUAAGUGAAUUACUACGCUGCACUAGGAGCUCUCUUUCUGUUUUUGUCUCCUUAAUAGGUGUCAGAGUGAUUUCCAUGUUUGCAAGUAUACCUACAGAUUGUGCUUUGUUUUACCACAACCACUGUUUGGUUUUAAAUUAUUUAUAAUAUUUCCACUCUGUAAACACCUAAUUUUAUGUACACAGGGUUACUUUCACUCUCUAUAAGAGGUCCAUAGUGAAUACGAUUUUUUUGUUGUUGCGCACCAUCACUACUAUAAGUUAUUGCCAGCGGACUGCCUGGAGACUCUGCCACCCCUGCCUGACAGCUGGGUGGACGGUAACGCCAGACCGGCCUGAACUGUGGACAUGCAGGGAGGAGCAGUAACAUAUACUAUACACCAGAACUUAAGCAAACUACCUAACAUCUUCCAUGUUUUCGUUAGUUCAAAUGUUUUAUAAUGCUAUAAGUUUGAACCCACUGGCUAGAGGUUGAUAUUUGUAUUUUGACGUGUUUUCGCAUACUGGAACCCGGGGAGAAGAAGGCAGCAGGUGCAACACAGACCCACCUAACUGGGCUGUAUCAUACAACCGCACUUGAAAACAGGAGUUUUUCAUAGCCUAUGCAUACCCUCCAGAUACCAUGCAGGACCGCAUGCCUACGCAUACUGUACUUAAACAGGAAAUGAAAUCACCAUAACUGUCACUAAAAUAUGAAAUAGAAGAUGAAACGUUUCAUGCAAAGGGAGGGAAAAAAACUAAACUUGAAACGUGACUGAAAGCAGCCUUAGACAUAGCGAUGCACGAUGUAAAUCAAAUGGGGGGGGGGAGGGGAGGAUGAUGCUGUUUGUUACAAUUAGGAUACAAACUCAAUGCGUUUUAUUGGAUAGUCAGCUUAAAAGUGUGAUAGACAAAAGAGCGGGAACUCUAGGCCAUGGGAUGGUGGGUAGCCACUUCACCAGGGGUAAACGACCUCAGAGCACUGACGUGAUGGGGAACUCCCAGGAGAUGACGCACCCCCCUGAGACCACACUGUAACGGACCGUUUUGCACACAAGGGGUAAAAACUGUUUAGGCGAUCGGCCCCCUUUCCAGAGAUACAGGCACAGCUACUGCAGAACACCAAAACUCACGAAUUGAAUACAAGUGAAUGCACCAAACUCCCGAACUGCAUACAAGGGAAUAAGGUAGCACUCCAAACUCCCGAACUGGAACCUCACGAAUAGCUGCUAACAGACGAACAGGAAAAGCUCCCAAGCGGCUUACACUCCUGGCAAUCAGUCCUUAGCAGCAUACAGCGAAUCCCCCCAAGAACGAGACAGAGCUCCGUGUUGAGGGUCAAGCAGUGGUCUGAGGUGCUGGCACACCCAGCCUGGUUUUUAUUACAGUCUUGCAAAUACAGGACCGCCCACAGGGAGGUAUAAAAUAUCCAGUAACAUAUUAGUUACAACCCACAGAUUCCCUCCCCUUAUCCUGAGAGGUAACCCAAUUACAUAUACUUUUUACCACAAUGCAUCCUGGCUUCCUCUCCUCUGCCCAGGAGAUAAUUGAGAAGUAAUUAAAUUAUCUCCCAGGACAGAGACAAGACUCCAUUAUGCACAUGGUUAGCACAAAGCAUUAAAAUACUGUACAAUACACAAAAUCCCAUUUUAUACAUAAAACACAGACAUGUCAGAGACAAGACUCCAUUAUGCACAUGGGGACACAAAACAAGCAUUACUGUUAAAAUACACCAGGUAAGGCACAUUACAUUAAAACUAUACAUUUAACAUAUCCCCAGAUAGCUCAGGUCUGAGCGCACAUUAUUAAGUGAAUGGCGCUCAGACCACAUGAAUACAGUUUAAUCGCCAUGGAGCCAAAGUCUUUACAGUCAGUUUCAUACGAAUGGGCUCCAUGGGAUUCCUAUCUGGGGUUUAACACAUUCAAACAAAUCUACCGAACCCCAGGCAGAAAAGCACGAAUGAAGCUUUUCUGCAGGUAAAAAAGAUGUCUUUUAACAGGGGGCCAUAGUCCAAAGGCAGCAGGCGAGCAACCAGGCUUCUCCAAUGCAAUGUGGCGAGAUUGGUCUCGUCACAUCUCUCCCCUUUUCCAAACAGACUAACAGGGUAUCUGACCUUGCCCUUGUUAGUCCAGCAGCCCACCCACAAAACAUAAUCAACAGCACAGCCCACCCACAAUAAAUAGUUACUGCACCUGGGUAGAGGAGAAGCUUGUCCAUGUCCAGGUGCCUCACCACGGCUGUGCUGGGUACGGGUACGCUGACUUGGUGGGGUGCUGCGUGGGCAGAGACCAGCGUCACUCUGCCCUGUUGCCAGCGCUACUGGGAGGAUAGCCUGGUUGAAGCCUGGUUGUUGGAGGGGGAGACCGACUGUCUCCCCUUUAAAUACACAGUCCUGCUGCUGGAGACCGACUGUCUCCCCUUUGGUUACACAGCUCUGCUGCUGGAGGGGGAGACCGACUGUCUCCCCUUUGGAUACUCUAAGCUGUCGCUGUGGAGAGGGGGUAACAGGCUCCUCUCCCGAUAGAACACUCUGCCGCUGGGGAAAGGAGACUGAGCUCUCUAUUCCCUGCCCAUUAAUGAUCCGUUGCUGGGGAGAGGUGGUAGCAAGCUCCUCUCCCAUACAUACUUUCAUCCUCUGUGGAGGGAGACCGACUGUCUCCACUCCCAAUACAGUGUCCUGCUGCUGGGAAGGGAAAACUGGGCUCUCUAUUCCCUGCUGGAUACUCUGCCGCUGGGGACUGGAGACUGGGCUUCCAAUUCCCAACCAAUAACACUGCCGCUGGGGAAUGGAGACUGGGCUCCCAAUUCCCGGCACAUCACACUGCCGCUGGGGAAUGGAGACUGGGCUCCCAAUUCCCGGCACAUCCCACUGCCGCUGGAGAAUGGGGACUGGGCUCCCAAUUCCCCAAAAAUCACGCUGCCGCUGGGGAGGGAGGACACUGCUCUCCUCUCCCUGGACUUCACACUGCCUUCCCGGCAUAUCACUUGGCUGCUGGGGGGCAGGAACAACUACCUCUGCCCCCUGUAACUCAGCCUGUCGCUGGGGAGGGAGGACACUGCUCUCCUCUCCCUGUACUUCACACUGCCUUCCCGGCAUAUCACUCUGCUGCUGGGGGGCAGGAACAACUACCUCUGCCCCCUGUAACUCAGCCUGCCGCUGGGGAGGGAGGACGCUGCUCUCCUCUCCCUGCACUUUACACUGCUGCUGGGGAAUGGAGACUGGGCUCCCAAUUCCCUGCUGUAUCUGCCGCUGGAGUUUCUCCCAACACGCCAACUGACCUUCUCUUUCUGCCCGUUGUUGCAGCCUCUCGAACACUAGGUUCCUCACAAACCGCACUGAUCUCUCCAGUGGGUUGGAUCCAAAGAAGCUUAGGUGAAACCACACCAUCCGGUCAUACUCUCUCAUAGAGUAGCUGUACUCCACUGCUGGUUCCAUCCUGGUGCUCUCAGGGUCGCUGUACUAGGACAUGCAUUGCCCUUAACUUGUAAAUCCAAAGAAAUGGUGUCUCAUGUAGCUGUCCUUCUGUGGGAACGAUCCCGCCGCUUGCCACCAAUUGUAACGGAACGUUUUGCACACAAGGGGUAAAAACUGUUUAGGCGAUCGGCCCCCUUUCCAGAGAUACAGGCACAGCUACUGCAGAACACGAAAACUCACGAAUUGAAUACAAGUGAAUGCACCAAACUCCCGAACUGCAUACAAGGGAAUAAGGUAGCACUCCAAGCUCCCAAACUGGAACCUCACGAAUAGCUGCUAACAGACGAACGGGAAAAGCUCCCAAGCGGCUUACACUCCUGGCAAUCAGUCCUUAGCAGCAUACAGCGAAUCCCCCCAAGAACGAGACAGAGCUCCGUGUUGAGGGUCAAGCAGUGGUCUGAGGUGCUGGCACACCCAGCCUGGUUUUUAUUACAGUCUUGCAAAUACAGGAGGUAUAAAAUAUCCAGUAACAUAUUAGUUACAACCCACAGAUUCCCUCCCCUUAUCCUGAGAGGUAACCCAAUUGCAUAUACUUUUUACCACAAUGCAUCCUGGCUUCCUCUCCUCUGCCCAGGAGAUAAUUGAGAAGUAAUUAAAUUAUCUCCCAGGACAGAGACAAGACUCCAUUAUGCACAUGGUUAGCACAAAGCAUUAAAAUACUGUACAAUACACAAAGUCCCAUUUUAUACAUAAAACACAGACAUGUCAGAGACAAGACUCCAUUAUGCACAUGGGGACACAAAACAAGCAUUACUGUUAAAAUACACCAGGUAAGGCACAUUACAUUAAAACUAUACAUUUAACAUAUCCCCAGAUAGCUCAGGUCUGAGCGCAUAUUAUUAAGUGAAUGGCGCUCAGACCACACGAAUACAGUUUAAUCGCCAUGGAGCCAAAGUCUUUACAGUCAGUUUCAUACGAAUGGGCUCCAUGGGAUUCCUAUCUGGGGUAUAACACAUUCAAACAAAUCUACCGAACCCCAGGCAGAAAAGCACGAAUUAAGCUUUUCUGCAGGUAAAAAAGAUGUCUUUUAACAGGGGGCCAUAGUCCAAAGGCAGCAGGCGAGCAACCAGGCUUCUCCAAUGCAAUGUGGCGAGAUUGGUCUCAUCACACACACCUCUGCCGACGCAAACCCACACAGUCGCCAUGGUGGAGGACAUGGACACACAACAACCGGAAUACCCUGCUAACGCACGACCCUGAGGCAUAACCCCCCCACAUGAUCACAAGCCACAAACGGCUGUUUUUUUUUUUUUGGUUGCUGCAUGUACUAAGAUCCUUCUCUCAUUUGCACCAUCCUAUUUAUAAUCGUUUUUUCUUUUGAGUCCGCUGGCAAUGGCAAGUCUUCCGGAACGAAGAUGUCCAAUUCUUUCAUAAAGUCUCGGAUGUUCGUAGUGGGUAAUAAUAUUGCUGGCUUAGGGCCAUGGAAGACUAUGAUCUUGAAAGGGUAGCCCCAUGCAAAUCAAAUUCCUUUUUGCCGCAGGAGGUCCAUGACUGGUCUCCAUUCCCGUCUGCGCAGGAGCGUUGCAGGAGCGACAUCUUGAUAUAGUUGAAUUUCUAUUCCCUCAUGGGUAAAUGGUUGCAUUCUGCUGUGCUUCAGUUUCAGUUUGUUUUUGAAGUAGUGCCACUUUAUAAUGACAUCCCUCGGUGGACUUUUCUUCGGGCCCCUGGCCCCGAGGGCUCUGUGGUCUCUGUCCACUAGCCAUAAAUAGUCCGGUAUGUCCGGGAGGCUUCAGCGAAAGUUGUGCACAAGGAUUGAUUCCACAUCUUCCUCCUUCACUGUUUCUGGGAGGCCUCGGAUUCGCAGAUUGUUGCGUCUCGACCUGUUGGAGAUGUCCUCCAGUUCAAUCUCUAAGUCAGUGAUUCAUUGCCGGAGGGUAUUGGUAAGUUUAGCGGUCUCGUUUGGUGCUGUGCUUAGUUUCCAUUGUGCAGGGCCCUAUCUCGGCCUUCACCUCCGCCGUUGUGCGCUUGAUUUCUGAGGCCAAAUAUCCCUUCACUUCUGCAAGUGAUUGGAGGAUAAUGCUGGAAGAGGCCUCAGUAGCUGAACUUGCGACGGUGGCUGGGUCCAGUGAGCCCGUAUUGCCGGAGUCGGUGUCUGCUAUAGUGCCAUGUGGCGACUGCCUUUGGGAUGUGAGCAUGUCUGCCACUGACAGAGCGUCCUUGUUGCCCUUUUUGGCGGGUUUGCGGUUAGACAUCCAUGGCGAGUCGAUCCGUGCUGCUUUGAGUGUUCUGGGGUCGAGUUUAAGUGUUUCUGGUUCAGGUUGUAGCAGGUUGCUGUGCUGACUCGCGAGCCUCUGGUGCGGAGCUCUGACUUUAGGCGGCCAUCACAGUCGGCAGUCAGACUAGGAUUAAUGUUUUAUUACCCUUUUGUCCCUCCUCCUAUUUUAAAUACUCAAAACCUCUGAACUGCUUGCUGAGAACAUUUGUUCCCUUUUGAGAAAGAUGCAAACCAUCUUUUUUGUACAGUUCAUUUCGAUUCCAAAUAGAGCUACCAUGAGAAACAAAGAAAAUCCUUGCUCACGACACCAUUCACUAAGCCACAAGUUAAAGUUCCUAAUACACAUCCCCCUGUCAUUCUGAGUGUUAUGCACAGGCUCAAAAAUUAAACUAACCCUCAAGAUAGACCGAUCAUAUCAGGUAUAAGGUGUCAUUAAUGGUAAAUUUUCAGGCUGGACAAAAGUGGUAAGUGGUGUCCCUCAGGUUUCUGUUUUGGGACCACUUCUAUUUAACAUAUUUAUAAAUGAUCUUGAAAUAGGCAUUGAAAGCCAUGUAUCAGUGUUUGCAGAUGACACAAAACUUUGUAAUGUAAUAAAAUGUGAGCAGGAUAUUGCUUUGCUGCAGAGGGAUUUGGAUAGAUUGGGGGACUGGGCACUAAAAUGGCAGAUGAAAUUUAACGUAGAGAAAUGCAAAGUUAUGCACUUCGGGGUUAAGAAUGCACAAGAAACUUACACACUAAAUGGUAGUGAAUUAGGGAUAACCACACACGAGAAGGAUUUGGGAAUUGUUAUAGACAACAAAUUAGGCAGCAAUAUGCAAUGUCAAUCUGCAGUUGCUAAAGCCAGGUUUUGUCAUGUAUAAAUAGGGGCAUAAAUUCUUGGGAUGAAAAACAGAAAAUUUUACUUACUAUAAAUUCUUUUUUUCUUAAUAUGGUGGCAGUAACUUCUGGGUUUUGCUCCUCCCUGUGGACAAGACAUCUAACAAGUAAUUUAAGAUCAAAAGACCCGACCCCUUGCCCUAUAAAAUGCUGUACCACAAAACCUACCCCAGUACGUGACAAGAAAAAGAAACACAGACAAAAUAUAUACUGCAAAAAUUCUUUAAUAAAGAGGGAGGGAAGUAGUACUGCCACCAUAUUAAGAAAAAAAGGAAUUUACGGUAAGUAAAAAUUUCUGUUUUUUCUGUCAUAUGAUGGCAGUAACUUCUGGGAUAUAGCAAGAUCCCCAUCUGGGUGGGACUUAGGCCACCACAGCUUGUAACACCUUACGCCCAAAGGCUGCUUCAGAGGCAGAGAAUAUGUCUAACCGAUAGUGCUUGAUAAAAGUGUUAAAAGACGACCAGGAUGCUACUUUGCAGAUGACCUCUGGAGAUGCAAGUGCUUUUUCUGCCCAUGAGGUAGCCAUUGCUCGGGUAGAAUGGGCUUUAAGUGUAGCUGGAGACUGAAGACCUGCUGUAGAAUACGCCAAUUCUAUAGCUUGAAUGAGCCAACGGGAUAAAGUACCGCGGGAAGCUACAUUCCCCUUGAGGUGACCCUGAAAAUUAAUAAAUAGAUGAUCCGAAAUUCUGAAUUCUUUCGUUCUGGCUAGAUAUACAAAUAAAGCUCUUCUGACGUCCAAUUUCUGCCAUUUGAGCUCUUGAGGAGAUGAAGCAUCGCUAUAAAACGAAGGUAAAAUAAUCGGCUGAUUAAUAUUCUUUCUGUCUUGGAUAAAGAACAACCUUGUCUUUGUGAAAAAUUGUGAAUUCAUCCGAGGAGGACAGAGCGUGAAGUUCUCCCACUCUUUUAGCAGACGUGAUGGCUUCCAGAAAUGAAACUUUAAGAGGCAAUUUUUAAUGGAACUUCCUCCAAAGGUUCAAAGGGUUGAACACUAAGAGCUUCUAGGACCAGGGCUAAAUCGCAAGUUGAAAACACCGAUCGCCUAGGCGGUCGUUUGAGCCUGAUGAACCUGAAAAAUCUUCUGAUGAAAACAUUGGAGGCCAAAUCCUUAAUUAGAAAAAAGCUUAAGGCUGAUAUUUGAACUUUGAGCGUGGAGACUCCCAGACCANNNNNNNNNNNNNNNNNNNNNNNNNNNNNNNNNNNNNNNNNNNNNNNNNNNNNNNNNNNNNNNNNNNNNNNNNNNNNNNNNNNNNNNNNNNNNNNNNNNNAUAGUUAUAUAGAGAUUUAACUUAAUUGAAGGCAGAGGAAGAAAAAGACCACCAUAAGAAAAAAAAAUCAAAAGUAGAGAAUACAGUGAUAAAUUUAAAAGCAGAUACCCGCAGACACUCUUAAGAGAAAGCAAUAAAUGGCCAUGAGUCCACAAGAAUACCACACAGAGCCCACAUCAGCUAUGUGCUCCAGGGGCAGAAAAUUGCCCUGCAUUAUGGUUUCAUGCCUGUUUGUCUGGAUAUAGGCAUGCGGAACAGGUCCCAUGUCACUGUCAGAUUUCCCUACAGUACCUCUGGCUUCUAGGGUAUCCUCGAUUUGAGCCGCAUAGGGUCAAAAUUCAGUGCUUGCCUGUACUUAGUGCUUGCCUGUACAUGCUGUCAUGUUGAGCCUUCUCCAUAUCUUGAGCCUCUGGCUUAUGAUGGGGAUGUGGAGUCAUUGAUAUAGGUAAGUGACCACUCUGCUUCUAUGGAGCAGACUGAUGCUCUCUGUUCUCUAGCUUCUGCCAAAAUUUGAGCUUGGUCAAGUUGUAAAGGUGGUAAAGUUUCUCACUGCUUUGACUGGGGGAACACGCGGCAUCUGCCAUGAUGCGUUGGUCAUGAUGUUUGCUGCUUGGUUUUGCGGCAACACCACGUGGUCAUGCUACAGCAGCGUGCGAACCGGGAUCUUCCCCACCGGUCCAAAGGGGACUGGGGUGAGGGGUAACUGGACACUUUACAGUCGUCCAGGCUACUCCAGGUGGGAGAUCAACCGCCUGUCCCAUCUGGCGCCCACUAGGCUGCUGUCAAAAAUGUCAUGGCUAUGACCUUCUGCCGAGUCACUGCUAGUCAGCCAGGUCACGGAUCUGGUAAGUUGCUUGCACUGUGAUUAAUCAAGUUAAAUGUGGCUCAACUCUCUAUAUGCCAGGAUAAUACAGGAGCUCUCUCAAAUCGUAUCCAUCUUCCAUGACAGUUAGGCCCUGCCACCCCUAGAAAUAUUACUAUCUUCACACACUUAAAAUCAGCCCUUACAUUUUCUGCAAAUUACAAAGAAAAUAUCAAUNNNNNNNNNNNNNNNNNNNNNNNNNNNNNNNNNNNNNNNNNNNNNNNNNNNNNNNNNNNNNNNNNNNNNNNNNNNNNNNNNNNNNNNNNNNNNNNNNNNNAGCAAUAUUUGUCCUGUGAUGUAUUUAACACAAGUACAGUAUAUCCACUAAUGAAGAUGAAUACAUGUGCAGAGUGGAAAGAGCCAGUAGAAUACCAGACCAGAUAUUAUUUAAACUAGCAAAAGUCUGAAGAAGAACAAAAAAAAACUUGAAGAGAACUUCUCACAAAUAUCUCCAAACAAGGAAUAACAGGCACUAAGCACUGUGGCAUAUAUGUUGGGUGGCAAUAGCGGGUUAAUGAAGUCCAGUCAAGGUUAAAAGAAAUUGAAAUAAAGUUCAUGACCCCAAGAUCAGUGGUUGGACAGCAGGGGACAAGUAUCUGGGCAGUUUUAGUGACACAGCUGUUGCUGGGGACAGGAGCUGACUGAGGAUUGGCUGCUGGCAGGAAGCCAGGUAAGAAUAAAAGGAGAUGAGUAAGGGAUUCCCUGCCAGAUGCUCGUGACAGGACUGGAGAAGCUCUGCGGACCAUGCCCACCCUUCCCUAUUUGUUAAAGUUGUAAAAAAAAUAAUAAUAAUAAUGUCGUGGUGUUUUAGAAGCUUGGGGGCAAAGUCAUCCUCACGUUCAAGUUCUGAGGAUGGAUAUUGUUGAGUGGUGGUGGUUAAAGGCGGUCAGGUUAGAUAUGACUGACUGGCACUAAGUGAUGGAAAUAAAGUGAUGAUUAUUGGUGAAGUGAAGUGAAAAGUUACCUAACAUGUUACCGUUAUCAAGUUUUGGUGUGUGCCCCAAUGUGCAAGCUUAAAUAAAAAACCACGACCAAGCCAUUUGAAAUAAAAUAAACUGUGUCUGUGUUUGUGUGUUCUAAGUUAUUUAUGCGAAUUAUUGCCUACAAGACAUAUAUCUGGUAAGUGUCCUGUAGUGCAGAUAUAAGAAGAUAGAAAAGUCUAAUAGAUCUCAACACAUAAAGCAUAACAUCCAAAUAAACAUGGAGAGAGCAAAAUGUAAAACACUGCUCACAUUCACAAUCAGCUCAUCCUUUAUCGACUUGCAGCAACACAAAAGGUUUUCAGCACAGCUGAUAAGAUCAGUAAUUAUAUAGAAUUAAGUAAUACUUCUGCCCUCCACAUGUGGAUUAUCCGCUCUACGCUUUCAAAAGGAUUCUAUUUAAUUACACUGAAUACCAAGUUCUACCCAGUCAAGCAUAAUGUGUAACAGAUCCCUCUGGCUAUUAACAACUUAAACCAGUGAUAGCCACCCAAAAAAAAAAAAAGAUUAUCUUUUUGAAUUACUGCUUAAUCACAAGUUUUUCAGUGCUAAUGCUUGAAAAGCAAAAAGUUAAGUUAUCCCAGACAGAGCAUACAAAAGAACUGGCACUGGCUUUAUAAGAGAUCAUACACAAAGUAAAAUAAUAAUAGUAAUGACUGUAUCAGUUAGCAUAAAAAAAGAUAUAAUGUAAUAUCAGAUUUUUUACCUUUCAGGAAACAUCUUAAAACAGCAUUGGGAAUACACAAAUGCAGGCAGCAUGACAUGGUUUUCGAGCAUAUGGAACUCUGAGGCGGCUAUAUGAUGACCUGAACACCGGUCAAAACGGCUGAACGCCUGCUUCUGGCUGCAGCAAUCUAGGAGAACCUGGUUUGAUGGUUUGUUCGACUGAAACUACCGAACCAUUACUAUACUAUGAGCCAGGGGAUUCAUUCACCUUUUUGUUGAUUUCUCCACUUUCCAUUCGUAUGAAAACACAUGAACUAGCUAAAAGCAUGGAACUAAUUCUGGACAGACUUAUUCAGAACGGUCGGUGAAAUCCUUUAACCCCAUGGCGAUUCGACUGUGUUCAUGGGAUCUGAGCGCUUUUUGGAUAUAUUGAGCGCCCAGAUCCAAGCUAUCUGGGGAUAUGUCGACUAUGGGGGUUCGGUUAUGUGAAAGAUGAUUUUAUGUAUUUUAAAGUGUUUUGUGAAGUUUAUAACUUGGAAAUAUUUUCUGUACCUGGAGAUAAUUAAGUUUACUAUGACCACUUAACCCAGUUAUCUCCAGGAUAGAGAGGAGGGAUUUUACAGUUUAUGUGGGAGUGUUUUAUAUUGUAACUCUAAGUUGAUUGGUUACUGUAAUUUUGUCCCUUUCCUCCAUGUGGGAGUAUACCUUGCUGGAGGACUUGCAUAAAAGGCCAAGCUGUGGCCACCAUUAAACAGAUUGUUUUACCC